rnacentral:rRNA from 1 species
UACGGAGGGGGCUAGCGUUGUUCGGAAUUACUGGGCGUAAAGCGCACGUAGGCGGCUUUGUAAGUUAGAGGUGAAAGCCCAGGGCUUAACCCUGGAAUUGCCUUUAAGACUGCAUCGCUAGAAUCGUGGAGAGGUGAGUGGAAUUCCGAGUGUAGAGGUGAAAUGCGCAGAUAUCAGGAAGAACACCCGUGGCGAAGGCGGCUCUCUGGGACGGUACUGACGCUGAGACGCGAAAGCGUGGGGAGCGAACAGG